AGAACCGCGGCUGGGAGAUAGAGGUGUUUUUAGACCUGGGACUCUGACAACUGUACUUUAGCCUUCACCCAUACGUCAUUGUGUCUGCACGUCUCUAAGAUGGAUACUUAUGAAGCCCCGUGAUGGAGAGGAUACAGCUAUGAACAAGACAGCAGCUUUCCCUUCAAUGGACAGGGAGACAGAUCAUAAAUACUUAGCCAAAGGAGAAAGGCGAUUUUUCAUAAACAAUUUGACACAUGGAACCAGGCUGCGGUUGACUUCAUUUCUACUGUUU